AAUCAACGCUGGCGGCGUGCCUCAGACAUGCAAGUCGAACGAUUAAAGCUCUCUUCGGAGAGUGCAUAAAGUGGCGCACGGGUGAGUAACACGUAAGUAAUCUACCUUCGAGUGGGGAAUAACGUCCGGCAACGGACGCUAAUACCGCAUAAUGCAGCGGCACCUAAUGGUGACAGUUGUUAAAGAAUUUAUUCGCUUGAAGAGGAGCUUGCGGCAGAUUAGCUAGUUGGUAAGGUAAUGGCUUACCAAGGCUUCGAUCUGUAACCGGUCUAAGAGGACGGUCGGUCACACUGACACUGAAUAACGGGUCAGACUCCUACGGGAGGCAGCAGUCGGGAAUUUUGGGCAAUGGGCGAAAGCCUGACCCAGCAACGCCGCGUGAAGGAUGAAGUAUUUCGGUAUGUAAACUUCGAAAGAAUGGGAAGAAUCAAUGACGGUACCAUUUAUAAGGUCCGGCUAACUACGUGCCAGCCGCCGCAGUAA
rnacentral:rRNA from 1 species